rnacentral:lncRNA from 1 species
AAAAUUUUGGUUGUCCUUGCUAAGCACGGGCCCGACAUGUAAGGGUGCAUGGUUGCGAAGGGCAAGAGAGAUACAGACCAAAUGAAGCUUCUUCAUUAUUUGUAUACAGCUUCAUUUGGGACAACUCACCGAGAAAAAAGUGAAGUCCCAGGAUACCCCAAACAGCCAGGACCUUGAUGCUACAACAACAAAGCUUCACUCUAAUUUAUACACACAAUUUGUUUUUAAACCGUGUUGUCGUGACUAGCUUGCGUGCACUUUCGAGUAGUUCCACGAGAUACCUGCUACCUCACACCAGCAACAGGUACCGGGUAACUCUGUUCAUCAAGGAUUGAACAGAUGGGAUGGAAAGAAAUCAAUUGGUGUUUUUGCCUCCUUGGAGGUUUGAAUCCGAGACCUCAUGGUUCUCAAUCCACUUCAUUGACCACUAGGCCACACCUAGGGUGC